rnacentral:rRNA from 1 species
GGCGAACGCUGGCGGCGUGCCUAAUACAUGCAAGUAGAACGCACAGUUUAUACCGUAGCUUGCUACACCAUAGACUGUGAGUUGCGAACGGGUGAGUAACGCGUAGGUAACCUGCCUGGUAGCGGGGGAUAACUAUUGGAAACGAUAGCUAAUACCGCAUAAUAUUAAUUAUUGCAUGAUAAUUAAUUGAAAGGUGCAAUUGCACCACUACCAGAUGGACCUGCGUUGUAUUAGCUAGUAGGUGAGGUAACGGCUCACCUAGGCGACGAUACAUAGCCGACCUGAGAGGGUGAUCGGCCACACUGGGACUGAGACACGGCCCAGACUCCUACGGGAGGCAGCAGUGGGGAAUCUUCGGCAAUGGACGAAAGUCUGACCGAGCAACGCCGCGUGAGUGAAGAAGGUUUUCGGAUCGUAAAGCUCUGUUGUAAGAGAAGAACGGGUGUGAGAGUGGAAAGUUCACACUGUGACGGUAUCUUACCAGAAAGGGACGGCUAACUACGUG